GCCUUGCCAAAGCUGCGUUUCUUUGCAUACAUACAGACGCUUCCACCCAGUUGUCCUACCCUGCAAAUGAGAAAUUCGGAGUAAUCUUCAUUUCAUCACGUCCUUUGGGACUGUACUGCUCGUAAGAGCCUGGCGUGACUCACGUCUGCAUUCGGCAUCAGAAAGCUCAGGGCCCAGAAAGCAUGCUUCAACUUCGGCGGGAGUGUGUGGAACUGGUGUCCCUAUGGGAGUCGGUGCGAAGAUUGUGUGCUCUGAUCCUUCGGGAGAGGGGUGACACUGUAGUACAAUACGCAGCGUACUUGACCUCGAGUAGCCCCUGGGUGAAAAAGGGCACAGUAUCAUUCGAUUCUGAUUACUCUGGCAAGGC
rnacentral:RNase_P_RNA from 1 species